rnacentral:sRNA from 1 species
UCUUAAAACCUUUUCCCCUGAGCAUUGCUUGGAAUGGUGUUGCAACGCUGUCAUCAACAGCAGAUUAAAUGCCAAUUUAGGAUGCACACUUUGACUCAAAACAUUAGUGUAGGCUGCCAUUGCCUCAAGGUGGUGGUGACUCAAGCUGUUCUGCUCUGCCCUUUUGUUUGCUAUUUUCCUUUUUUGUAGUGUGGUACUGUUUGUUCAUAAGAUUAGAAGUUUUAGUCCUUAUCCUGAAGGUUGAAGAUAAUGUUGUAACUUGACUUGGCAGUUUUAUAACUAGUAGCUAUCCUAGUUUUAGGUAGCCAAAAUUGGUGCCCUGUAAUGGGCUUUAUAAAAACAUCAUUUCCUUUGUUAAAUUUUUAAAAAAAGAUAGAACUUUUUCUAGUCAUCAAUUCUUGGGCAUUUUCCUAGCUCAUCGAAAGGAUUUUCUUGAAAAAGUCUAGCACCUUUUUAGCAUUUAAUAAGGAAAUAUUAAAAUCAAUUGGUAAUGAAAAUUCUGACACAUUGGAGAUAAGUAAUAUGUUUGGCCAUUUAGUUUACUGUGAUAAUGGCUAAAGGCCAGUGAAGGAUUUUUGAUCAUAUCUAGUGAUGAGAAAAUUUAAUAUAUAAUGUGAUGUUUUAAAGAGUAAAGAUUUCUUAAGGUUUAGAAUUUGGUGCUUUACUAAAAGUAGAUAAUCAGGCUGGGCGCUGUGGUUCACACCUGUAAUCCCAGCACUUUGGGAGGCGGAGGCAGGCAGAUUGCUUGAGCCUAGGAGUUCAAGAGCAGACUGGGUAACACGGAGAAACCCCGUCUCUACUAACUACUAAAAAUACAAAAAUUAGCUGGGCAUGGUGGCGGGCACCUAUAGUCCCAGCUAUUUGAGGAACUGAGGCAGGAGGAUCACCUGAGCUUUGGGAGGUCGAGGCUGCAGUGAGCCAUGAUUGUGUCACUGCACUCUGGCCUGGGUGAUAGAGCGAGACCCUGCCCCCAGCCCCGCCAAAAAAAAAAAAAUCAUAGAAUUAAUGAUGAUGAGAUAUAUUUACUGUGUUAGGCAGAUACCAGCUACUUUAGUAUACAGGAAAAAGAAAGCUCAUGCGUUUCAUUGGUAAUAUGCAGUUACAGGUUUUUAAAAAUCCUUUCACUCCAAGACUUAUGGAUACUUAUAUACAGGUUUCUUUCUGCAGGGCACCUGUGCUGGUUGCACUUGCUUUGAUUGAAUGUGGAAUGAAGUACGAAGAUGCAGUUCAGUUUAUAAGACAAAAAAGAAGGGGAGCGUUCAAUUCCAAACAGCUGCUUUACUUGGAGAAAUACCGACCUAAGAUGCGAUUACGCUUCAGAGAUACCAAUGGGCAUUGCUGUGUUCAGUAGAAGGAAAUGUAAACAAAGGCUGACUUGAUUGUGGCAUUUAGAGGGAACUCUUGGUACCUGGAAAUGUGAAUCUGGAAUAUUACCUGUGUCAUCAAAGUAGUGAUGGAUUCAGUACUCCUCAACCACUCUCCUAAUGAUUGGAACAAAAGCAAACAAAAAAGAAAUCUCUCUAUAAAAUGAAUAAAAUGUUUAAGAAAAG